rnacentral:rRNA from 1 species
CCUACGGGAGGCAGCAGUGGGGAAUAUUGGACAAUGGGGGCAACCCUGAUCCAGCAAUGCCGCGUGAAUGAUGAAGGCCUUAGGGUUGUAAAGUUCUUUUAUUGAUGACGAUAAUGACGGUAAUCAAUGAAUAAGCACCGGCUAACUUCGUGCCAGCAGCCGCGGUAAUACGAAGGGUGCUAGCGUUGUUCGGAAUGACUGGGCGUAAAGGGUGCGUAGGCGGUAAGAUGCGUCUGAUGUGAAAUCCCUGGGCUUAACCUAGGAACUGCAUUGGAUACGGUCAUACUAGAGUCCGCGAGAGGAAGAUGGAAUUGUGCGUGUAGAGGUGAAAUUCGUAGAUAUGCACAAGAACACCGGUGGCGAAGGCGAUCUUCUGGAGCGGUACUGACGCUAAGGCACGAAAGCGUGGGGAGCAAACAGGAUUAGAUACCCUGGUAGUCCACGCUGUAAACGAUGAUUAUUAGAUGUCGGGGGGUUACCCUUCGGGUAUCACAGCUAACGCAUUAAAUAAUCCGCCUGGGGAGUACGGUCGCAAGAUUAAAACUCAAAGGAAUUGACGG